rnacentral:rRNA from 1 species
UACAGAGGGUGCAAGCGUUAAUCGGAAUUACUGGGCGUAAAGCGUGCGUAGACGGUUAUGUAAGUUAGGUGUGAAAGCCCCCGGGCUCAACCUGGGAAUUGCAUUCGAGACUGCAUGGCUAGGAUGCGGAAGAGGGAAGCGGAAUUUCCGGUGUAGCGGUGAAAUGCGUAGAUAUCGGAAGGAACACCAGUGGCGAAAGCGGCUUCCUGGUCCAGCAUCGACGUCAGGCACGAAAGCGUGGGGAGCAAACAGG